rnacentral:rRNA from 1 species
AUGUCGAAGAAGGAUUGGCCGGUGCUGCCGGCUAGCGUCAAGUUCGAUCCCAUGGAUCAGGAGCUGAUCAAGCACCUUGAGGCCAAAGUGAGUGCUGACAGCGUGAGAUCUCACCCUCUCAUCGAUUUGUUCAUACCAACCAUCGGCAGCGAGCACGGCAUAUGCUACACCCAUCCUGAGAAACUUCCAGGUAUCACACUGAGUGGCCUAAGCAAGCAUUUCUUCCAGUGCAAUUCUAGGGCAUCCAAAAGGGGCACAUGGACGUGUUGCAAGAUACAGUUGGAGUGCGGCAUGCACGCGAUGUGGCAGAAGACCGGCAAUACCUUACCGGUGAUGGUCAACGGCCGGCAGACGGGCAGCAAAAAGGUUCUGGUGCUGUGCACCAACAAGAACUUUGACCAACAGAGGACCAACUGGGUGGUGCACCAGUACCACCUCGGGGACCUGGAGCAAGAGAAGGAGCGGGAGCUGGUCCUCUGCAAGAUUUUCUACCAGACGAACACUAGGGCCAGGAGUAAAAAGAUUAUAAGUUAG